UACGAAGGGGGCUAGCGUUGCUCGGAAUGACUGGGCGUAAAGGGCGCGUAGGCGGAUGGCACAGUCAGAUGUGAAAUUCCCGGGCUUAACCUGGGGGCUGCAUUUGAUACGUGUGAUCUAGAGUGAGGAAGAGGGUCGUGGAAUUCCCAGUGUAGAGGUGAAAUUCGUAGAUAUUGGGAAGAACACCGGUGGCGAAGGCGGCGACCUGGUCCGUGACUGACGCUGAGGCGCGAAAGCGUGGGGAGCAAACAGG
rnacentral:rRNA from 1 species